CUUGAAAAGGUACGCUGGUAUAUAUCGUGCAUCACUCAGCCUACUGUGUACUUUUCGCCAAUGAAAAGGACAAAGAAGUUAACUUGCCUGUGUUCGUCGGGUCGCAGCGCUCUCUCCAAAGUAACAGAUAUCUCAGGCCGGCUCAGGAAUGUCUGAAGACGAGGACUUCGACGGAGGCAGCGAAACCGUAAAUGAGUCAACAUCUACCACGUCUGAGGCGUCUGUGUUGGAAGGCACGGAUCAAAAGAGUG